AGCACACACAUUGGAUGAAGCAACCAAGAGUAAAUCAUCCAGUGUCUACUGGGGGUUUCUGACACAACUUUUCUGACCAAAUGACAGCAUUUCAGCCAACAUCUCCAGGGCCUCCAAGUUUUCUGAAGGG